rnacentral:piRNA from 1 species
UCAUAAGGUGCCUGGUAUGGAGUAUCACUC